UCGGGCUGGGUUACCAACCCCAUGACCAUGAUACCAUACCAUGCUGACCCAACUUUUAAAAUGUGGACGAUGCUUGCCGUUUUAGAUAAUCCUUCGUUUCUUGCCUUCUGAGCUUCAAAUACAAGCUACCUCUCUUUUCAAAACCCUAAUUUCUUCCUCUUCUUCCAAUCUCAAUUCAUCAGAUCGCCUUCGCUGCUUACUCAGGAAUUAUGUCUUUUGCACAGAAUCUUCAAGCAGAAGAUCGUAGUUUACAUGGUGGUUAUUGGUCCACCUUUGAUGGAAGCAACUUUGGUGGCAACAACAAUAGGAAAAGGAGCAGGAACAAUUAUUACCACCGGAAUUAUAACUUUUACAAUGACAACCGGACAAAAUUUGGGGACCAUGGUGUUAACUUCAAUUUUUACCAGGCUGAUCAUGCUAAUUAUGUUAAAUAUGAUGCUGUUCCGUCAUCUUUGAAAAGGAGAAAAUAUUCAGCCCCUGUUUGGGAAGAAAGUCAAAAAUACUAUUUUCCUCGCAUGGUCCAUGACAAUAUCCCUCCAUCCUGUAGUUUUCAGGCUCCUCCUUCAAGGUUCAAUGCUGAUGCCUCUACAUCAGCUAGCUGCAAGCUUGAUUGCUCUAUUUUUGAAGAUGAUAAGCCUGUUUUUAUGUCAAGGGAUGAGAUUGAUAGAUACUCUCCAUCAAGGAAAGAUGGCAUUGAUGUACAUCACGAGACACACCUGCGGUACUCCUAUUGUGCCUUCCUUCAGAACCUUGGAAUGCGUCUUGAGCUGCCUCAAACCACCAUUGGGACGGCUAUGGUUCUAUGUCACCGCUUCUUUGUUCGACGAUCACAUGCUUGUCAUGACAGAUUUUUGAUUGCUACUGCUACUGUUUUUCUUACUGCAAAGUCAGAGGAAGCUCCACGCCCUUUAAAUAAUGUAUUGAGAGCAUCCAGCGAAAUCUUACACAAGCAAGAUUUUGCUUUGUUGUCCUAUCGGUUUCCUGUUGAUUGGUUUGAACAGUAUCGUGAAAGGGUGCUUGAGGCUGAACAGUUGAUACUUACUACUCUAAAUUUUGAACUCAAUGUGCAACAUCCGUAUGCACCUCUUACAUCCGUUCUUAACAAAUUAGGUCUAUCAAAGACUGUUUUGGUGAAUCUGGCAUUAAACUUGGUCAGUGAAGGGUAUCCCAUUUGUUGGUUCUGACUAGGCUCUUGUUAUCUAACAGAGUGACUGGAUAAAAAAACCUAGUCUAGGAAACAGGCAAUGGGGCGUUGGGUGUUAAAUCUCAUGCAAUAGAAUGUCUUGAGGUCUGGAGAUCUAGUGGCUGAGGAAGAUACCUUGGUGUCUCCCCUUCUAAAUUUUGGUUCAAAAUAGUGUUGAUUCUCUCAAUGUUUUUCUUUAGCCCAACUUCUCUGUGUAGCUAUUCUGUCAUGGGAUAUUGAUUCUUUUGGCAUGCAUAUAAUUGCAGGAUCUUCACAAGAUUAGCGUGCUGGCCUGUAUGAUAUUCUUAGCUGGCGGAUUGAUAUGCUGUUCAUGGAAAGUUUUGUUUUACAUCUGAAGUUGAACUGCUGAUGUCUAAUGGAUUGCUUUACAUUGAAUUUGUCCCAUCAAUUUCUUUGAGCUACCCAAGAUAGCUACAAGAACCCUUAGCCCCAACUCUGAUUUUAUGUCUAACCCUCAAUGCCUUGUAGUUUAUGCUGAUUUCCAUUAACCAAAAGGGCUCUCUAUAAUUUUUAGUAACAUAGGUGGAAAGAAUAUCAUGGACUUGAUUUGACAAUCAGAAACUAACAAAAAGAAAAGAAAACAAGUGAGAGACAGAAGCAAACCGUCUAAAAUUCAAAUAUGGAAUGAAUCUUUAAUUGGUCUGAACAAAUUUUGAUUAGUGAUUACUUGUUAAUCAAAAUGAAAUCUUUCAACUACAGUGAAUAUAAAAUGUGGAGGAAAAUAGAGGUCUUUUCUACUGCUGGUCUGUUAUUAUUAAAGAGUUAGUGUCUCUACUGGUCCCUGUGAUUUUGUUUAUCCUCCUUUUCUUCAAUGAAAGGAAACCUUUCCUCUUAGUCUAUAUAUUGAUUUGGAGGAAAACUAUUCUCAGGCAUGAACCAACCAAUAAAGGUCUCUCUUCUGAAGUGUUUCCUUUGUGGUCAGUAUAAUUGCCGAUUUUUGGGUUUGUGCUAAGUUUCUUAAUUUCCUCCUCAUUUCCAACCACAUUGAAUGUUUUGGUAACUCAAAUGGAUUAUUUUUGACUCAUUUUCAUUUUUUUCCAGGUGUUUUAAAUUUGGAUUUAAUUUUGUUCCAUUUUCAAUCUGCAAGAUUUUUUCAGUUUUCAUCCAAUAAUUUGUUGACGUAUCAGAAAAAGUUUGACGACAACAACUACCUAAAAAAUCAUCCUUCUUAAAUGAUGAUGAAUGAAGAAUUGUUGGAUGAUAAUGUUCAAAAUUAUACAUUAACAAUAUAUCCAUAUGUUUAGCGUUGUGAGCCUUUGCAUGUAUUCUAAUUUUAACUGAGCCAUUUCUUUUUUCAAAAGCUCAAAUAUCUUGUUUUGUUCAUGCUAUCAUGUAUUUCCACCCAUUGAAAAGUUCUUCGUAUCUUUGUUCAUUGACAUUGAGUCUAGUUAUUAAGUCUGUAACGGGAAUGGAGGCUAAGAUUUGACUGGCCUUCAUUUGGAACAGAAAAAAUUAGAAUUUAUUAACUCAAAAUUCUGAGAAUUUCACUUCCUUGUAGCAGUGAAUUUUUUGGUAAGGUCUUCCUCUGUGUUAACACCUAGGUUGCAGCCAAAGUUAUUGGAAAUUUGAAAUGAGAAGCCAAUUGGUUAGAUACAUGUGUUCAACUUUUGAAGUAGAUGUCCUAAAGCUUGAAUGCUUGACUGAUUUUUUUUAGUAGAAACUUUUUGUGAUUAUAAGAUGAUACCUUGUCCUUUAUGUUAGUCUUUCUCUCUUAGUUGUGAGUCCAAAUUGUUUAUUGAGUAUAAUUCUGUUUAUGUGUAGACCCCCCACUUCUCCCACCUACACAAAAAAAGCUCUAUACUGAAGCUGGCUCACAUUUUUCUUUCAUUCUUCACACCAUUUGGCAUCUUGUGGUAUUCUCUUUAGGUGUCAGCCUUAGUAUGUUAUUGGUUGGAGUGAUAGAUCUUUUUUAUAAUUUAAAUGGCUCAGCAUCUUCAUGAAGUCUCAAUACGGAUGGAACCCCUGUUAUCUCUGUACGGAGGGCUUUGCUAAAUUUGAUUGUUUUUGUCUAAAGAGAUGUUCUUUGAGUUAAAUUGCUCAAAGGUUUUCAUGACUUAAAAGCAUUAUUUGUUGAAUGGACAGUGGCUCUCUUUAUGCUUCUCAUUGUUCUAGGAAGUUUUGCUCUAGUGGCAUAGUGUUGUGUGAGCAACCCAUCUUUUUAUCCUUUUAUUCUCCAAUCGGAUUUAAAAUAAUACCUUCAGUACUUCCGAAAGUUAUGCACAACUAUUCUAAAAAUUAUAAUUUACUCCAUCCUUUUCCUGUGCUCCACCUUGACUUGAAGACAACGAUGAAAAGAAAUAGAGGAACUUGUUCCUGUUCUGUUUUUAGCCCUGUUCCCCCCAGAAAAAAAACCGGAUAGUUGGUAUCUUAGGUGACUGUGAUGUAGUGGUUCUGUGCAGACUACAUACCUUGUCUUAAGCUGACAAUAUUCCACUUUUGGCAAAUCAUGUGCAAACCUGGCUUUGUUGAAAAAUAGCGUUAGAGGGGGGUCUUUCACCAAAUCUCGUCCUAUUUAGCCCCUCAGGUUACAAUAAGAACCUCCCAAUUGUGGAAACAGAAAGAGGGGUAAAAUUACGUGUUUGUACUAAAAUGAACUUUAUAAAUUUGUCCGUGCAUCUUCCAUGUAUGCCAACUUUGGUGUAAAAUUACAAGUUUGUACUAAAUCAUUGACAAGCUUUCUGCUUCAAUUUCUUUUUAUUUAUUUUGCAAUGCUAAUUCAAUUUUUCUUUUCUUUUUUUCGUUUGAUGUUUUAUGUUGUGGCAUGAGUUUUAAAAUUCUAAUUUGCACCUGCAACGCAGAAUUAUUUGUUUUGUGGUAUGUUGAAUAAGUUGCAUUCUUAGUAAACAUUCCAAUGUACAUGGUAGCAAGGCUCUCCAGGUCAAAAUAUUGAGAAGAUGUGGCAUUGGCAUUAGCUUUAGAAGAUUCAAUUGUUUGCAAUAUGCAGCACAGCAUUGCUUCCUUGCAUGCUUUCUCAUUUUAGUUACAUAAAUUUCUGGAGUUUAGAGCCCCCACAGCAGAGUUGGGUCUGGAAGUCUGAUAAAUUCUCUAGAUGAGUAUAAGAUAUUGCUAUAGUUUGGUACUCUUAUCAGCAAAUCCUGCACAGAUUCUUGGAAUUGUAUUCUUCCUGAGUUGCUGCUUUUCUAGUUGGUAAGGAAAAGUUAAUAAAUUUGUGUUUUUCUCUUGGUAUGAAUGUUGAAUACUAUUUGUAUUAUGUAGUUCAUAUUAUUGCUCAUUUUAAUAGCUGACAUGAUCUGUCAUGGUGGGAACAUAUGCUAAGUUGGUGUUGCCUCGGAUGGUUAGUUUGACUAUUUAUGUAUCUCUAUUUGCAUUGAGCAAUGGUGGCUGUAGUGAUGUCUGUCUUGUAUGGAGUACUGAAGCUGAAAAAUGUUUUGCAGGCUUCGGAGCUCUCUCUGGCUUCAAUUUAAACCCCAUCAUAUUGCUGCUGGAGCUGCGUAUCUUGCUGCCAAGUUUCUGAACAUGGAUCUUGCUGCUUUUCAGAACAUCUGGCAAGAGUUCCAGACGACACCAUCCAUUCUUCAAGAUGUCUCGCAGCAGUUAAUGGAGCUCUUCUGAAAGUAUAAUAGAAGAACUAGCUUAUAGCAUCCUUAAUAGUAGAGUAGAUUGAGUAUAUAAAUCAAAAAAUUGCGUACUUGAGAGGGAGAGCCACAGAUCAUGAUGUUUAGGAACUGCGGUAUAUAAUUUGGUGAAUUACAGGAUUAGUGGGUGUGACCUACGUGUUUUUUCAAGUGUUACCAACUUCUUUAUGAAUCCUCUGCUAAAUGUUAAGCAUGCUUUGCAAU